UGCAUAUCCAUUAUUAUUAGAGUAGAUGCAAAGAGGGGAAUCUUUGUGAGAAAUAAUGAACUGGUCCCCAUCCAUUAUAAUAGGCAGCACCAUCAUUAUCAUAACCUCAUACACAGAAAAAGAAAAGACAAAAUAACAAUGUUUUCAAUCACACAUCAUCUUCUGCUUCAUCCGAAAACAAUGGUGGCAAAAACCAGAAGCAAUCAAAUUAGAAGUCAUCACUUUGAAUUAACUCAACACCCUCUCUUAUCUCUAUUAUUUCCAUUGGAGAGCUCAAAAACAAACACAAAAAAAACAAACAAAUACCCUUCAAAAUGGACAAAAAUAAAACUUAAUUUUAUUACAAUGAAAUAUACUAAUACUACUAUUACUUAUUACUAUUACUACCAACCUAGUCAUGAUAUCAUAAUGAGGAAUAAUAGAAAAAAUUUGUCUUCACUUUCUUAA